rnacentral:lncRNA from 1 species
GAGACUCUAGAAGGGAACGCCAUUCCCCGGACCUAGAAUGCCGACAAUCUAAAGUUGUACUACCAGUGAACUUUGUAUCUCCUCACCCGGAAUACAAAUUCAGUUUCAAAACUUCGGAGUCUGGAAUCUCGACUCUUCGACUGUGGGUCGACGCUCGUCAGAAGUACGAGCCCCGACGCCCCGACUUGAGCCCAACGUUCCAUUGGGAACCAACGGC